UGGGGAAUUUUGGACAAUGGGGGAAACCCUGACCCAGCAAUGCCGCGUGAGUGAAGAAGGCCUUCGGGUUGUAAAGCUCUUUUGUCAGGGAAGAAACACCGGCUCUAACACAGUCCGGGAAUGACGGUACCUGAAGAAUAAGCACCGGCUAACUACGUGCCAGCAGCCGCGGUAAUACGUAGGGUGCAAGCGUUAAUCGGAAUUACUGGGCGUAAAGCGUGCGCAGGCGGUUAUACAAGACAGGCGUGAAAUCCCCGGGCUUAACCUGGGAAUGGCGCCUGUGACUGUAUAGCUAGAGUGUGUCAGAGGGGGGUAGAAUUCCACGUGUAGCAGUGAAAUGCGUAGAUAUGUGGAGGAAUACCAAUGGCGAAGGCAGCCCCCUGGGAUAACACUGACGCUCAUGCACGAAAGCGUGGGGAGCAAACAGGAUUAGAUACCCUGGUAGUCCACGCCCUAAACGAUGCUGACUAGUUGUUCGGGAUUUACAUCCUGAGUAACGUAGCUAACGCGUGAAGUCAGCCGCCUGGGGAGUACGGUCGCAAGAUUA
rnacentral:rRNA from 1 species